rnacentral:rRNA from 1 species
CAGGCCUAACACAUGCAAGUCGAACGAGACCUUCGGGUCUAGUGGCGCACGGGUGCGUAACGCGUGGGAAUCUGCCCUGGGGUACGGAAUAACUCAGAGAAAUUUGAGCUAAUACCGUAUGAUGUCGAAAGACCAAAGAUUUAUCGCCCUGGGAUGAGCCCGCGUAGGAUUAGCUAGUUGGUGAGGUAAAGGCUCACCAAGGCGACGAUCCUUAGCUGGUCUGAGAGGAUGAUCAGCCACACUGGGACUGAGACACGGCCCAGACUCCUACGGGAGGCAGCAGUGGGGAAUAUUGGACAAUGGGCGAAAGCCUGAUCCAGCAAUGCCGCGUGAGUGAUGAAGGCCUUAGGGUUGUAAAGCUCUUUUACCCGGGAAGAUAAUGACUGUACCGGGAGAAUAAGCCCCGGCUAACUCCGUGCCAGCAGCCGCGGUAAU